UGGGGAAUAUUGCACAAUGGGCGCAAGCCUGAUGCAGCCAUGCCGCGUGUGUGAAGAAGGCCUUCGGGUUGUAAAGCACUUUCAGCGGGGAGGAAGGCGUUAAGGUUAAUAACCUUGGCGAUUGACGUUACCCGCAGAAGAAGCACCGGCUAACUCCGUGCCAGCAGCCGCGGUAAUACGGAGGGUGCAAGCGUUAAUCGGAAUUACUGGGCGUAAAGCGCACGCAGGCGGUCUGUCAAGUCGGAUGUGAAAUCCCCGGGCUCAACCUGAGAACUGCAUUCGAAACUGGCAGGCUAGAGUCUUGUAGAGGGGGGUAGAAUUCCAGGUGUAGCGGUGAAAUGCGUAGAGAUCUGGAGGAAUACCGGUGGCGAAGGCGGCCCCCUGGACAAAGACUGACGCUCAGGUGCGAAAGCGUGGGGAGCAAACAGG
rnacentral:rRNA from 1 species